AGAGUUGAUCCUGGCUCAGGAUGAACGGCUGGCGGCGUGCCUAAUACAUGCAAGUCGAACGAGGUGGAUGGGAGCUUGCUCCUUGAUGCCUAGUGGCGAACGGGUGAGUAACACGUAGGUAACCUGCCCUUAAGCUUGGGAUACCCAGAGGAAACUUUGGCUAAUACCGGAUAACAACAGAAGAGGCAUCUCUUCAGUUUGAAAGGCCCUGCAAGGGGUCACUUAAGGAUGGACCUGCGGCGCAUUAGCUAGUUGGUGAGAUAAAAGCCCACCAAGGCUAGGAUGCGUAGCCGACCUGAGAGGGUGAUCGGCCACAUUGGAACUGAGACACGGUCCAAACUCCUACGGGAGGCAGCAGUAAGGAGUUUUCGGCAAUGGGGGAAACCCUGACCGAGCAACGCCGCGUGAGUGAAUGACGGCCCUAUGGGUUGUAAAGCUCUGUUGUAAGGGACGAAUGAUUCGCUUAGGAAGUGAAGCGGACUUGACGGUACCUUACCAGAAAGCCACGGCUAACUACGUGCCAGCCGCUGC
rnacentral:rRNA from 1 species